rnacentral:lncRNA from 1 species
UACACGCACACUCUCGAUCGUGAGUCUAUGGCUAGUCGUAUGCAUAGAGAGAUAAUAAAUUUUGACCCUUUAGUUUGCAAGUUUAUUGAAUUAUUAUUUUUCUGUGUGUUUCUAAUAAGCUGAUUGAUUGUUAUAGCUGAUGAAAGAGGGGGUGAUGCCUAACCAUAGCAUCAUCCUUUGAUUGAGUCAUAUGGGCAAGAAGGAUAGGCCGAUGAAUGUCAC